CCAAAGGCUCUUUUAAGAGCCACCUACAAAUUUCUGUGAAGAACUG
rfam:Ailuropoda melanoleuca scaffold2693_8, whole genome shotgun sequence.